rnacentral:misc_RNA from 1 species
GAUGAAGAACGCAGCGAAAUGCGAUACGUAAUGUGAAUUGCAGAAUUCAGUGAAUCAUCGAGUCUUUGAACGCACAUUGCGCCCCCUGGUAUUCCGGGGGGCAUGCCUGUCCGAGCGUCAUUGCUGCCCUCAAGCACGGCUUGUGUGUUGGGCCUCCGUCCUCCUCCCGGGGGACGGGCCCGAAAGGCAGCGGCGGCACCGCGUCCGGUCCUCGAGCGUAUGGGGCUUCGUCACCCGCUCUUGUAGGCCCGGCCGGCGCUUGCCGACACAUCAAUCUUUUUUCCAGGUUGACCUCGGAUCAGGUAGGGAUACCCGCUGAACUUAAGCAUAUCAAUAAGGCGGAGGA